rnacentral:rRNA from 1 species
CCUACGGGUGGCAGCAGUGGGGAAUAUUGCACAAUGGGGGAAACCCUGAUGCAGCGACGCCGCGUGAGUGAAGAAGUAUUUCGGUAUGUAAAGCUCUAUCAGCAGGGAAGAAAAUGACGGUACCUGAUUAAGAAGCCCCGGCUAACCACGUGCCAGCAGCCGCGGUAAUACGUCGGGGGCCAGCGUUAUCCGGAUUUACUGGGGGUAAAGGGAGCGUAGGUGGGAGCACAAGGUCGGAGUGAAAUGCCGGGGCUUAACCCCGGGACUGCUUUGGAAACUGUGCCGCUAGAGUGCGGGAGAGGUAAGUGGAAUUCCUGGUGUAGCGGUGAAAUGCGUAGAUAUUAGGAAGAACACCAGUGGCGAAGGCAGCUUACUGGAGUGUAACUGACGUUGAGGCUCGAAAGCGUGGGGAGCAAACAGGAUUAGAUACCCUAGUAGUC